UCCAUGACGGCGGACGGGGAGAUGUAGUGCACGUGGGUGUCGAUGGCCCCGGCUGUGAGGAUCUUGCCCUCGCCGGAGAUCACGUCCGUGGCUGGUCCGAUCUCCAGCCCGGGGGUGACUCCAGCCAUGACGUCGCUGUUGCCGGCCUUGCCGAUCGCGGCGAUCCUGCCGUCCUUGAUGCCGAUGUCAGCACGCACGAUGGCGUUCUUGCCGGCACUCUCACCCGGGA
rnacentral:sRNA from 1 species